rnacentral:rRNA from 1 species
UGGGUAGGGGAGCGUUCUGUAAGCCUGUGAAGGUGUACUGUGAGGUAUGCUGGAGGUAUCAGAAGUGCGAAUGCUGACAUAAGUAACGAUAAAGCGGGUGAAAAGCCCGCUCGCCGGAAGACCAAGGGUUCCUGUCCAACGUUAAUCGGGGCAGGGUGAGUCGACCCCUAAGGCGAGGCCGAAAGGCGUAGUCGAUGGGAAACAGGUUAAUAUUCCUGUACUUGGUGUUACUGCGAAGGGGGGACGGAGAAGGCUAUGUUGGCCGGGCGACGGUUGUCCCGGUUUAAGCGUGUAGGCUGGUUUUCCAGGCAAAUCCGGAAAAUCAAGGCUGAGGCGUGAUGACGAGGCACUACGGUGCUGAAGCAACAAAUGCCCUGCUUCCAGGAAAAGCCUCUA